CAAGGAGCCGGAGGGGCGGGGCUCGAGGCGGCCCGAGGCACGCGCGCGGCUCCGAGGGGCAGUUCCGGAGUGGGGAGGGGGCUCUGCCGGGAGGCGGCUGCGGAUGGGAUCCAGGCGGGAGGGAAGGGGGCGGAUCGCGUCUCCCUUCCUCCCGAGGAGGCGGUUUAACAUUGCCGCCCCUCCGGAGCGGGAGGAGCUACGGGGGGAGGGUGGGACUCCCAGGAGAAGGAGAGGGGGAGGGACCGAUCCCCUCCGGUAGCGCCCUCCUAACAGGAACUCCGGUGACGGCCUGUCACGGAGCGACAGGAUUGUUAACAGAUGAACUUUGAAAAAAAAAAAUUGCUGUGCUUCCUCUAGAGAUCAGGAUGUCUUGGACAUUUCUGUUUUGGUUAUUUAUCUGGCUAUAACAAAGAGACAAAUGUGAGGAUUCUCUUUAGAAAUGGAUGAGUUGAGGAUAACUGCAGAUUUUAGUCAAUAGGGAAAAGUUGCUGGUGAGUUGGGAAUAUUUUUCUAAGAUCUAUUUUUAUAAAAUAUAUUUUGGCAUGUUUUAUUUGAAGACUGUAAUUUUAAAGCUGUUAAAAUCUGUAAUUCUUAAGUUCAGCACUUAAGCUUGUAUUUCUCUUUAAGCACAUGAAUAACCCCAUUAAAGUGCACAGAGCUAGUCUUGUGCUGAAGCAUUUUGCUGAAUCAUGUCCCUGGAGAAUUUGAUACAUGCAAAGAAAAACAUACCUAAAUAUAUGAGCAUUGUUCCCAGGUUUGGUAGAAAUAUUUCUGCUUUCUAUAUGUACUUCUUAUUAUAAGUUUCCCUUGAAUGCAGUUUGAAUAUAAUUCUGCUGUUCAGCAAUCCAGAUGCAGGAAACAUGCCAUAAAUAUCUUGCCCUUCUCUCCCUCCUUCCCUCCCUCCCCCAAAGUUGCCUUUGGCAAGUGUAUCAUGCUAUAUAUUGAUGUUACUCUUUUAUAAAGAAUUUAUAAAAUUUUGGACAGUAAUAACAUACUUUUGUGCGCUGUUCCAUAAACACAGAGAAAGUGCAAGACCACUUACUCUCUUACUCCAAU
rnacentral:lncRNA from 1 species